rnacentral:tRNA from 1 species
CCUUCGAUAGCUCAGUUGGUAGAGCGGAGGACUGUAGAUCCUUAGGUCGCUGGUUCGAUUCCGGCUCGGAGGA